rnacentral:rRNA from 1 species
AGAGUUUGAUCCUGGCUCAGGAUGAACGCUGGCGGCGUGCUUAACGCAUGCAAGUCGAACGAUUAACCCGCCUUCGGGCGGUCAUAGAGUGGCGAACGGGUGAGUAACACGUGACCAACCUGCCUCGCACAUCGGGAUAACUGCCGGAAACGGCAGCUAAUACCGGAUACUAUCCCCUUCCGCAUGGGAGGAGGAUGAAAGCUUUCGCGGUGCGAGAUGGGGUCGCGGCCCAUCAGGUAGUAGGUGGGGCAGCAGCCCACCUAGCCUACGACGGGUAGCCGGACUGAGAGGUCGAUCGGCCACAUUGGGACUGAGAUACGGCCCAGACUCCUACGGGAGGCAGCAGUGGGGAAUAUUGCGCAAUGGGGGAAACCCUGACGCAGCAACGCCGCGUGCGGGAUGAAGGCCUUCGGGUUGUAAACCGCUUUCAGCAGGGAAGACGCAGACGGUACCUGCAGAAGAAGCCCCGGCUAACUACGUG